rnacentral:rRNA from 1 species
UACGGGGGGGGGCAAGCGUUGUUCGGAAUUACUGGGCGUAAAGGGCUCGUAGGUGGCCAACUAAGUCAGACGUGAAAUCCCUCAGCUUAACUGGGAACUGCGUCUGAUACUGGAUGGCUUGAGUUUGGGAGAGGGACGCGGAAUUCCAGGUGUAGCGGUGAAAUGCGUAGAUAUCUGGAGGAACACCGGUGGCGAAGGCGGCGUCCUGGACCAACACUGACACUGAUGAGCGAAAGCCAGGGGAGCAAACGGG